CAACGUAGCGCGGUUGAUUCGGUGCCGUUAAAACGAUUCACUUUGUUACAUUUUGCAGCGAGCAAGCAAAGGACAUAAGGACAGUUACACUGGCAGCGCAUAGCCUGCAGCUGUGUCUGAUGUCUUCUUGCAGCUCAAAACUUUUGCGCCUUGUUUGAAAUAAAAAAUAAGCAAAAAGCAAAAAGCAAAAAUACAAAAAUAAAAAUCCAACAAUAAACAGAGCAAGACAAACGCAUAAUCCGCUUUCAUGCAAAUCGAAUAAAAGUUACCAGCUUAAAGGCUUAUGAGCCGCCUGUGACAAAAUUAGUGAAAAAAAAUUGUUGUUAUUAUUGUUGUUACCAUUUUGUGGAUUUUGGUACAAAAUAAAUUUCAUAAAAAAAGUGCACAAAUAACGCCGUAAGCUGUACGUGGAAUUAAAUUGAACAACAUGUCGACAUGAUCUUCAGUAAACGAGGCAGUUAAAAUGUCAAAACAAUUAUGACAAACGCUACAUAAAAACUAUACAACCUACAACUUCCCCUAGUCUAUAUACUCCCUAAUUGAAUAUUUCACAACAAAAUACUCUAUCCCAAGAAACAUCGAAAAUUUGUAAAAAA